CGUGUGUCUCGCCUUUGUUUGGCUUUUCCGCUUCAAAUUCCAUUACGGCGGAGAAUUCUCACUCACGAUUUCUGCGGACAUUUCUAUACUUUUUUUUCUUCUUCUUCUUUCUAUCUAAAAUCGGUACUGCAAUGGUGAAAGCUCAUUCGGCGUGUAUCACUCAAGUACUUAUGGAGCUGCUAAUCGAUGGUGGAAGCUGAUACGAGGUGUAUUUAGAGGAGUUGGUACAUGACUAAGGAAAGGAGAAAAAGCCGUUGAAGUUAUUCCAUAAUGCAAGUUGUUUGAAAAUUUCACCAAACCACACAUCCCAAGCACAAGAGUUGGUGCAUGACUAAGGAAAGGAGAAAAAGCCGUUGAAGUUAUUCCACAGUGCAAGUUGUUAGAGAAUUUCACCAAACCACACAUCCCAAGCACAAGUAAAAUAACAUUACAAGGCUAAGAUUUUUUAUAUGCUUCUUGAUUAAUCGGAACCUAUAUUUUCUGGUGCAUCGGUGGGGGGUGCAUAUUUGGUUUUUCUACAGUUCUAUGCUAAAAGGGGAUUGACGUUCAAGUCCUGAUCUAUAAAAUGAAAACUAUGGAAUGAUGAUUUACAGUGUCUAAAACCAAUUUAUCGCCUGAACUUACAGCCAUGUGAAACUAAGAUAAUGGUUCUGCUGCUUAUAAGAUGCAUCAUCUUCUUUAGAAAAAGGGGGAAAAAAUUAAAGAAUUUUCACAAACUUAGAUGUAAUCUCCAUUUAUUUAUUUUUUUUUGAGAAAAUGUAAGUUCCUUUUGUUACUGUAAACUUUAAAGUUGUUGUAUACGCAUGUAACUUCUGUCCCAUUUUCAGCCUUGCUGACAUGUGUACGUGGAACGGUUGCU